UUUGAGUUAACAGACAAACAAGACUUGUGAACUAGCUUAAUUUAUGACAUGAAUCGUAUUUCGAACAAUCGUGUUAAGGCAAGCUUGGAGGACGUGUAAUGCCGAUUAACGGUACCCGGAAAGACUGAUAGAUGGAAAAUUAGUUCGUUUUCCAACGCCUUUAAACGGAACAUUGAAAAGUGUAAAUGUUGGAUCAAAUCUAGUCUGGCUUCCAUAACUUUAAUGUUGAUAUUUAUUUUUUUGAUGUUUACUACACAUUGUAGUUAUGGCGUAACCCUCAUUCUAAAGUCAACCAGAAUCAACUGCCUACGAUGAUCCAAUUGAAUGACUCGGCAAUCACAUGACUGAUAACAUCGAUUCAUUCUAUUUUUAGCAUCAGCUUCACAUUGUUUAUUUAUUUUAAACCAAUUGCAGUUAGGUUGAAAAUAAGUUUUGGUAAAUAAAAACAAUUAAACUAUUCCAAAUUUAGUAUCUGUUAGAUUUCUAAUCAUUCAAAAUAGAAAAAUAACAGCAAAAUAAGCUCUACCUUUGUGAGGUCGAAUAUAUAUAUGUAGGUCACAUGGGUAUUUUCUGAAAAUCUUGUUAUCGAGCGAUUAAAUUUGAAAACAACUAUGACCUAGUUAAGGAAUGUUUAUAAUCGGAUUUAUUAUAAGGGUCAAACAGCUUUCUAUUUUUUUGGUUGUGAAAAGGUGUUUGUGAACUACAUUUUACUUCAUCUACCUGAGAAUAUUGUUAUUUUGUCUGUUCAAAGCAUACGAGUGAAAUAACAGCGUGACAUAAAAAAUGUCUGGUUGGGUUUGGAUACGGCGUUCUCUUCAGCGAGCACGUCCCAUUGGGUAAUAUAUAUAUAGCGUGUUCGCUGAAGUUCUUUAGCUAGAUCAAAUCUUGCGGGGGACCCCACUAAUCAGCUAACAGCUGGUUGGAUUAAUCAACAUAAAGCUUUGUGUACGAAGAAUUUUGUUGGUGCUAAUUGGCCAACAGAGAUACAUCCUGACCCGGUUCGAGCAGAUGGAUCUCUAGGUUAAAAUAAAAGACGUCUAAAAUGGGAUUGCCCAUUAAAAAUCUUAAACAAAUCGGUCCACAAACAAUUAUUUGGCCAAAUGGAUCCCACGAUGAUCCCAUGCUACACCUGCUCGGGGGCUGUUGGUCAAUCAUCUCUGGUGUCUAGCCUUAAGGGUGACCAAAACUAAUCCAACAGUCAGGAUAUCUUAACACAGGAAUGCGGAAAGGAAUCUGGGCUUUCCACACAGACUGAAAAUUUAUGGGUGUGUCCACUUGAUGUGUUGGGGUCGGCAGUAGAGAAUGCUCAGAUGAAACAGAAAGUGAUCACCCAGGGUGAACAACUGACACGCCUAAGGAGAGAUAUUUCAUCUAAAGACAAUGAAGUAAAGCAGCUGAUGUCACAUUCAUGUAGAAAGGAGGCUUUUAAUAUUGUGCAAAUAUCAUACUUGGAUAACAUACCCUCCUCAAAUUUGUAGUUCCUACAAAUUAUUAAGUGCCUAAUUAAGCUUUACGUAGUGAUUUAAAAUCAUUGAAAGUGGAUUAUGGCCAUUUUCUUACGUUUUUGUCAAUAAAGGCAUGAAUUUAGAAUUAAGGAAUGUCAGUAAGAUUUGGAUUAGGCCUACACUCAACAGAUGUUGUUUUUAACACAUUGAUUGAUAUUAUGUACGUUAAAUUGUGCAAACUUACAAUUUGGCCACAUAGAGACACCAUAAUAAAAGACAUGCCAUCCGAGUACAAAAAAGAAUUCCCCACAUCUUCGAUAAUUAUUGAUGAAACAGAAGUAAAAAAACAAAGUACAAGUGCUCUAGGUCAAAUGUACAGUGACCAGUAGUCAAAUUCAACUUUAAAAGCUUUAACUGGAUGUGAUCUAAAUGGUGGUUCAAUGUUUGUUUUAGAAUUAUUCUGAGGUACAAUUCCAGAUAAAGCAGAACAAUAUGUUUUUAUGAUGUAUGGAAAUAUUAAAAAGUCAUGGUUAGGUUAAAAAUGAAAAUGUUGUAAUAGCUGAUAAAGGAUUUGCCAAACACAAAUGUUAUAUUGAACAUUUAAUAUGUAAAGUUAAAACAUGCAAGAUGUUAAGUCAUUGUUUGCCAACUUCUCUGUUGCAAAACAUUUAUAAAAUAUGGUCAGUUUGUUGUUACCUGACACUUUUUCAGGAUGUUUCACUUUUUCAGGAUGUUUUGUAAAAGGACAAAGUUAAUCCAAAUAGCAAAUAAAGGACAAAGUUUAUUCAAGUAGCUAAACAAUAUUGGAUCAUAAUUUCAUUAAAGAAUGCACAUUUCUUUGGCAUACUUUUUUGUAUUUUAUUAAUUUAAGUGAAUAUUAACUUAUAUAAAGCAUAAUGUUCAAUAUUAUUGACCUAAACUGGAGUAAUAUCCUUGUUUGACAAUAUCGAUUCGAUUUGAACAUCAACCAGUGCAAUUGAUACUGUUGGUACGUUGUGAAUGACUUUCUAUCAAUGGCGUGCCUUUUAAUUCUGAUGAAUGUGCCAAUUCAUCUCUAAUUUUUGUUAACCUUAAAAUCAAAUGCAGUGUACGGCCAUUGCUUAAAUAGCACUUUGGGCAUUUUUCCUGUACUAGCCUUCCGAUUUUAGAUCUCAUGAUAUUGACUGUGUAUUUAUUGAAGGCAAUCGCUUACAAGUGUGAAAGUAUUGUUUACACCAUCGGUGAAGUUCUAUAUUAAGGACACAAUGAUUUGCAAAACAUAGCUACAACAUUAGAGAUCAGCUAUAUGAUGUACCCUUUUACGCCAGAUAUAAAAUAUGGUUUAAUUAACAGAAAUGCGGAGUUGCAUUUAGGCCAAAUGACAUUCAAUGGCGCCAUUUCUCAAGCAUGCGUGUCACUUUAUCAAAUAUUGACCGUUAUUGGUCCUACAUUCGGUUUGAAUAUCAAUCUAAAAAAAAAUUAUAUCCUUUUAUUUGAUUGGCAUGAAAGAAACAUACAUGGUACACACUGUGAUGAUGAACAGCUGAUGUGCCAUGAUACUUUAGAUGAGUUAUUUCAUUUUCUUUUUGUUCAGUAUACAGAUUUUGCUAAUGAAUUGACACCGGUCUACUUGUAUUUAUUUUUAAAACUUGUGGAUAAUAAGAACAACGCUGUGCAGAUUCAUUAAGAACAUUCUAGGGUAAUACUGCAGAAGCAUCUUAAAUGAAGUCUUAUCAUUGACAUUUUCGUUGACUGACUUAUUUAAACAUUUAGGAUAUUUGUGGUUAAUUUUAAUUAAAUAAAUGAAUAUUACUAUUAUUUUUAUGCUAAAGCAGUUAAAACAUCUUGAAGUUCUAAUAUGAUUUUGAAAAUAUAUUAUUUUUAGUUUUUUUAUAAUUAAUCAAAAAUAUUUCAGUAUAUCCGUAAAACUGGCCCUGCUGUAUUGCUUUAAUUUUAUAUUGAUUUAUCAAUAUGCUGUAUAUGCAUUAGAUAAUAAACAUUCUGUUCUGUUUUGGUUUUUGUACUUUUACAUUCCUCUCAAUACAGAACAGGUAGUUUAUUCAGGCCAUUAUAUUCUUGUUAAUUGUUGAGUAUAUGCAUCGUAUGAUUUUUAUGCUUUUAUGCUCAUUAAAUUUAUACCAUAAGA